rnacentral:rRNA from 1 species
AACCUGUCUAUUAAUAGAUUCUCCGCUAUAAAUUUUACUUUUAUUAAAAUUUUAUAUACCUCCAUCUCAAGAUCUAAUAUUCAAUAUUCUAAUCUAAAUAAAAUUUUAAAAAGUUAGGUAAAGGUGUAGACUAUAUAAAAGAUUAGAUGGGUUACAAUAAAUUAUUAUUUAAGAAUAAUUAAAUAAAAAUAUUUUGAAAAAGGAUUUAUUAGUAA